GAAAUGCGAUAACUAAUGUGAAUUGCAGAAUUCAGUGAAUCAUCGAGUCUUUGAACGCACAUUGCGCCCCCUGGUAUUCUGGGGGGCAUGCCUGUCCGAGCGUCAUUGCUGCCCUCAAGCCCGGCUUGUGUGUUGGGCCCUCGUCCCCCGGCUCCCGGGGGACGGGCCCGAAAGGCAGCGGCGGCACCGCGUCCGGUCCUCGAGCGUAUGGGGCUUCGUCUUCCGCUCCGUAGGCCCGGCCGGCGCCCGCCGACGCAUUUAUUUGCAACUUGUUUUUUUCCAGGUUGACCUCGGAUCAGGUAGGGAUACCCGCUGAACUUAAGC
rnacentral:misc_RNA from 1 species